CGACGGCCCUCUGCAAAAACAAAAGUCAGUAGACUUAGCGAACACACAGUAGAUCGACGAUAACAGCUUCUCCCACGGCGAACUUCAAUCUCUCGCCAACACGGUGGUAACCUCGGCGCCAUCACCGCAGUAGCGAGAAACACCUACGCCGUUUAUCCCUCCCUGGCCAGCCACCGCCGUCGCCGUCCUCCCUCCCCGGCCAGUCACCGCCGUCGCGUCUUCCCUCUCCGUCCAGCCACCGCCGUCGCGUCUUCCCUCUCCGUCCAGCCACCGCCGUCGCUCCAACAUCCUUCGGCCUCACUACAAGCUUUCAGAAGAGCGAAUUAAAAGUUGGACUUGCUGAAGAAUGUAGCAGAUUGUUCCCCCAAUGCAAACCCACAAGAUUCUCGUCAGCUUCUUCCAUCCAUUGUUCAGCUUCUAAAGAAAUACAUGGUUCGGAAAAAGAUUGAAGAAAUAAACUUUACAUAUAUUGAGUGCUUGUUGUAUGCAUUUCACCUCCUGGCUCAUAAGACUCCUAAUGCAACAAAUAGUCUUUGCGGCUAUAAGAUUGUAACUGGUCAACCAUCAGACCGGUUGGGGGAGGACUUCUCAGAGCAGUAUCGCGACUUUACUGAGAGGUGCUAUCUCCUUGUUUUUGCUUCUUUUAAAUAUAUGAAAUUCUGACUUGUUCACCACAAUUUCAAAGGGAGUGUUAGUUUUUUUGCUCUAU